UACGUAGGGUGCAAGCGUUAAUCGGAAUUACUGGGCGUAAAGCGUGCGCAGGCGGUUUUGUAAGUUUGUCGUGAAAGCCCCGGGCUCAACCUGGGAAUUGCGAUGAAGACUGCAAGGCUUGAAUCUGGCAGAGGGGGGUAGAAUUCCACGUGUAGCAGUGAAAUGCGUAGAGAUGCGGAGGAACACCGAUGGCGAAGGCAGCCCCCCUGGGCUAACACUGACGCCUCAGGCACGAAAGCGUGGGGAGCAAACAGG
rnacentral:rRNA from 1 species